rnacentral:misc_RNA from 1 species
GAUGAAGAACGUAGCGAAAUGCGAUAAGUAAUGUGAAUUGCAGAAUUCAGUGAAUCAUCGAGUCUUUGAACGCACAUUGCGCCCCCUGGUAUUCCGGGGGGCAUGCCUGUCCGAGCGUCAUUGCUGCCCUCAAGCACGGCUUGUGUGUUGGGCCCCGUCCUCCGAUCCCGGGGGACGGGCCCGAAAGGCAGCGGCGGCACCGCGUCCGGUCCUCGAGCGUAUGGGGCUUUGUCACCCGCUCUGUAGGCCCGGCCGGCGCUUGCCGAUCAACCCAAAUUUUUAUCCAGGUUGACCUCGGAUCAGGUAGGGAUACCCGCUGAACUUAAGCAUAUCAAUAGCGGAAGA